AGAAAUCGUUGGACGCUCAAGAAGGGGUAGCGGUCUCGGUGCCGGCCAGUGGCGCACGGGUGCGUAACACGUAGGUAAUCCACCCUCAAGUGGGGAAUAACCGCCCGAAAGGGCAGCUAAUUCCGCAUGUGGUCCGGAAGGAAGAAAGGGCGAGAGCUCGCUUGAGGACGAGCCUGCGGCCGAUUAGCUAGUUGGAGGGGUAACGGCCCACCAAGGCGAUGAUCGGUAGCUGGUCUGAGAGGACGAUCAGCCACACUGGAACUGGAACACGGUCCAGACUCCUACGGGAGGCAGCCGCAAGGAAUAUUGCACAAUGGGGGGAACCCUGAUGCAGCAACGCCGCGUGGGCGAUGAAGGCCUUCGGGUUGUAAAGCCCUUUUCUAAAGGAAGAGACAAGGACGGUACUUUAGGAAUAAGUCUCGGCUAACUACGUGCCAGCAGCCGCGGUAAAACGUAGGAGACGAGCGUUAUCCGGAUUUACUGGGCGUAAAGGGCAAGUAGGCGGUAGGCAAAGUUGGACGUGACAUCUCUCGGCUUAACUGGGAGGGGUCGUCCAAAACUAGCCAACUAGAGGGCAGGAGAGGGGAGUGGAAUUCCUAGUGUAGCGGUGGAAUGCUUAGAGAUUAGGAAGAACACCAGUGGCGAAGGCGACUCUCUGGCCUGACCCUGACGCUGAGAGGCGAAAGCUAGGGGAGCGAACGGGCUUAGAUACCCCGGUAGUCCUAGCUGUAAACGUUGGGUACUGGGUAUUGGGGGGCAACAAACCCUCAGUGCCGAAGCGAACGCGUUAAGUAUCCCGCCUGGGGACUACGGCCGCAAGGUUAAAACUCAAAGGAAUUGACGGGGACCCGCACAAGCAGCGGAGCGUGUGGUUUAAUUCGAUGUGACACGAAGAACCUUACCUGGGUUUGACAUGUAGGUAGUAGGGAAGCGAAAGCAGACCGACCCUUCGGGGAGCCUACACAGGUGCUGCAUGGCUGUCGUCAGCUCGUGCCGUGAGGUGUUGGGUUAAGUCCCACAACGAGCGCAACCCCUGUUGCCUGUUAAAACUUUCUGGCGAUACUGCCGGCAUAUAACCGGAGGAAGGUGGGGAUGACGUCAAGUCAGCAUGGCCUUUAUAUCCAGGGCUACACACACGCUACAAUGGCCGGUACAGAGGGGCGCGAAACCGCGAGGCGGAGCAAAUCUCACAAAGCCGGUCUCAGUUCAGAUUGCAGGCUGCAACCCGCCUGCAUGAAGUCGGAGUUGCUAGUAACCGCAGGUCAGCUAUACUGCGGUGAAUACGUUCCCGGGUCUUGUACACACCGCCCGUCACGUCAUGGAAGCUGGCAAUACCUGAAGUCGGUGAGCUAACCGCAAGGAGGCAACCGCCUAAGGUAGGGCUGGUAACUGGGACGAAGUCGUAACAAGGUA
rnacentral:rRNA from 1 species